rnacentral:lncRNA from 1 species
AGAAAAAAUAAGCAGUGUCUAAAGAAAAGUUCACCCCUGUCGUUCGUGGGCUAGAUCGAACGACUAAAACCCAUUCGUGCACAUAUCGUCUGAUUGAACAACCCAAAUCAUUUCAUGACUAAAAGUCAAAUGGACGGUCCAGAUUGCAUCCUACCUAAAAUGAUCUAACAACUAAAAUUUAAGGAAAUGUAAAAAGACCAAAAAGCCAUUAAUGAAAUCGUAGAUUCGACGGCCACAGUUGAAA